AUUUGGGGGAUGGCUCGGCUCGGGCGCCGAGGAAGGUCGUGCCAAGCAGCGAAAUUGCUUCGGGGAGGUGCAAGGACCCUUUGAUCCGAAGAUCGCCGAAUGGGACCUCCUAGAUUCUUAUCUGGUCCGUAAGGACCGGGAACCCCCUGAAUUGAAGCAUCUUAGUAAGGGGAGGAAAAGAAAUCAAUUGAGAUGCCGUUAGUAAAGGCGAUCGAACACGGCGCAGAGCAAACCGAAUCCUUAAUUGAAAAAUUAAGGAGAUGUGGAGUUGUAGACCUCGUUACACCAUCGUUCACUGACCUCAAGUUCACUGGAACGUGACGCCGUAGAGGGUGAUAGCCCCGUAAGGGAAGGUGAAAAUGGUGAGUGCGAGGUAUCUAGAGUAGCGUGCCUUGGAUAUGGCGCGUGAAUGGGUGGCAUCAACAUCCAACUCUAAAUACGUCCCGAGACCGAUAGCGCAAUAGUAGCGCGAGCGAAAGCUGAAAAGUGACCUUGACGGGAGGUGCAAAGAGCCUGAAACCAAAUAACUACAGGCUUAUGCGGCAUGAAAGGCGCAAGCCAGUGUCGCAUUAUCCGUGUUGAAAAACGGGCCAGGGAGUUAUGACUCAUGGCGAGGCUAAGAAGGGAACUUCGUAGCCAAAGGGAAACCAACUGCCCGCAGAGCAAUCGAGGGGCGGGAUGGGCUCGUCCGAAGUCAUGGGUGGUAGACCCGAAGCCAGUUGACCUAUUCCUGGAUAGAUUGAAGCCUGGGGAAACCCAGGUGGAGGAUCGAACCGAUAUUGAUGUGCAAAUCAUUCGGAUGAUCUGGGUAUAGUGGUGAAAGUCCUAUCGAAGCUGGAAAUGGCUGGUUCCUCCCGAAACUACCCGCAGGUAGAUCUCGACGGAGGUUGAAUGUGGGGUAGAGCACUGAUUGGUCAUUUAGGGGUCGAAAGACCCCGGUGACCUGUCAAACUCCGAAUCUGCAUUCACCGUAGAUGUCGGGAGUGAGGGCACGACGGGUAAGCUGCGUGUCCGCAAGGAAAUGAAUCCGGCCUCAAGUUAAGGUCCCUAAGUGUCAGCUAAGUGUGAUGUAAACGGUGUCCAUGGUCUUAGACAACUAGGAGGUGGGAACAGAAGCUGCCAUCCUUUAAAGAGUGCGUAACAGCUCACUAGUCGAGAUUGUGGGCCCGGAAAAUGGAAGGGGCUAAGCUGAUCACCGAUACUUGAGAGCACCGAAAGGUGAUCUGGUAGGGAGGUGUCCUGCGUGGACCGAAGUUGGGGAGUGAUCUCCAAUGGACCGCGUUGGAAUAAAGAUCCUGGUAGGAGUAACAGCAAAGAAGGGUGAGAAUCCCUUCCGCCGAAGGGGCCAGGGUUCCUCGGCAACGAUCAUCAGCCGAGGGUUAGCCGAUCCUAAGGCAGUCCUUAAUCGGAACUGUCGAAAGGGAAGCAGGUUAAUAUUCCUGCGCCACAGUAACCUUUGGCUGGCUUCUGACGCAUCAGGGUAAAUCAUGCAGACUAACCAGUCUGUCAAAAUGUAUAAGUCUGGGGAGAGCCGUAAUGGCGAGAACCAGAUGAAAGCAAAUUGGCCCGACCCAAGGUUGGGUUUGGUUGAGCCCCGGUGCCCGUGAAAAGGAAGUCAGUGUCAGUUAUUGUGUUCGUACCUAGAACCGACACAGGUGCCCCUGGGUGAGAAGCCCAAGGCGUGUUGGCUACAAUCUUCGCGAGGGAAUUCGGCAAAUUAGCCCCGUACCUUCGGUAUAAGGGGUGCCAGCCAUGAAAGUGGCUGGUCGCAGUGACGAAGGAGCACCGACUGUUUAAUAAAAACGUAUCUCGCAGCAAGUUCGAAAGGAUGUGUAUUGCGGGUGAAGCCUGCCCAGUGACGGUAUCUGAAAACCGGUUUCAACCGGACGAAGGACCGUUAAACGGCGGGGGUAACUAUGACCCUCUUAAGGUAGCGUAAUACCUUGUCGCUUAAUUGGCGACUUGCAUGAAGGCCCAACGAGUGCUCUACUGUCCCCGCGAAGAAUCCAGUGAAACUGAUAUACAGGCGUACAAUCCUGUACCUUCCACCUGAAAGCGAAGACCCCGUGGAGCUUUACUGCAACCUGUCGUUGUGUUACGGUUUUGGAUGUAGAGCGUAGGCAGGACUCGACGAAGGCCGGACGCCAGUUCGGCUGGAGAGAACCAUGUAACACUGCCCUUCUGAAAUCGUAACACUAACUCGAAAGAGGACACCGAUAGGCGGGCAGCUUGGGUGGGGCGCCACGCCCUCGAAAAGAUAACAAGGGCGCCCAAAGGUCAGCUCAGGUAGGUCAGAAAUCUACCGUAGAAUGUAAGGGUAAAAGCUGGCUUGACGUGGUUAUGCCCAACGAGUAACCACGAUACGAAAGUAGGGCCUAACGAACCAUUGAGUCCUCCUUGAUGGGGGCCAAUGAUAACAGAAAAGUUACCCCGGGGAUAACUGAGUUGUCUUCAGCAAGAGCUCAUAUCGACCUGAAGGCUUGCUACUUCGAUGUCGUCUCCUCCUAUCCUGGUGGUGCAGCAGCUGCCAAGGGUGGGGUUGUUCGCCCAUUAAAAGGGGUCGUGAGAUGGGUUUAGACCGUCGUGAGACAGGUUUGUUGCUUUUUGGUGGAAGCGCUUGGUGUCUGAGGGGAAGGUUCCUUUAGUACGAGAGGAACAAGGAAUCGUAGCCUCUAGUUUACCAGUUGUCCGGUCGGGCAUUGCUGGGCAGCCACGCUGCAAGGGAUAAGGGCUGAAAGCAUCUAAGCCCGAAACCCCCCCUAAGACGAGACACCAAUAGAACACCCGUAAAAGACGGGUUUGAUAGAGUUGGGGUGUAAGUGC
rnacentral:rRNA from 1 species